UACGUAGGGUGCAAGCGUUAAUCGGAAUUACUGGGCGUAAAGCGUGCGCAGGCGGGUAUGCCAGACAGAUGUGAAAUCCCCGGGCUCAACCUGGGAACUGCAUUUGUGACUGCAUGGCUAGAGUACGGUAGAGGGGGAUGGAAUUCCGCGUGUAGCAGUGAAAUGCGUAGAUAUGCGGAGGAACACCGAUGGCGAAGGCAAUCCCCUGGACCUGUACUGACGCUCAUGCACGAAAGCGUGGGGAGCAAACAGG
rnacentral:rRNA from 1 species